GAUGAACGCUGGCGGCGUGCCUAAUACAUGCAAGUCGAGCGAACGGACGAGAAGCUUGCUUCUCUGAUGUUAGCGGCGGACGGGUGAGUAACACGUGGAUAACCUACCUAUAAGACUGGGAUAACUUCGGGAAACCGGAGCUAAUACCGGAUAAUAUUUUGAACCGCAUGGUUCAAAAGUGAAAGACGGUCUUGCUGUCACUUAUAGAUGGAUCCGCGCUGCAUUAGCUAGUUGGUAAGGUAACGGCUUACCAAGGCAACGAUGCAUAGCCGACCUGAGAGGGUGAUCGGCCACAUUGGAACUGAGACACGGUCCAGACUCCUACGGGAGGCAGCAGUAGGGAAUCUUCCGCAAUGGGCGAAAGCCUGACGGCGCAACGCCGCGUGAGUGAUGAAGGUCUUCGGAUCGUAAAACUCUGUUAUUAGGGAAGAACAUAUGUGUAAGUAACUGUGCACAUCUUGACGGUACCUAAUCAGAAAGCCACGGCUAACUACGUG
rnacentral:rRNA from 1 species